UGGUUCUAUAAUUCUGGUGAAUACCCAUAAGUAUUUAAGGAUAUCUGGAAAAUAAAAAUGUCCGCAGGACAGCCAGUAACCAAAUCUUGACCCGCCCUCACCUUUCUCAUUGGAUGGGGGCGUGAACUUUGUAAACUGGAGGUGUGAACCUUGUGAACUGUAUAUCAAUGGCCCAGACAACUGGGAAGAUAUAUGCCUUUGGGGACCGAGCUGCUCGGGAGGUAUAUGUCGCUAUUUCUCCGUCCCCCCGGAAACAGGAAUUACAUAGGAUCAUUCAAUUGGUGAUCUUCUGGUUGCACCAAACCAUCCCCAACUGCAAGGCACAGGAAAUCAGCAUGUCAGCACAUGGACAAAGGCAGACACAAGGGAAACUUGAAAGACAUCAAUGAAGAAAUGGAAUUCCUGGCAAACUGUUAUGGCUCCAGUACUAACCUGUGAGGAAUAUUUAACAAGACCCCCUUGGUCAAGAAAAAAUAAUAGGCUGCUUCUAUUUUUUUCUGUAGAAGUUGCAAAUCAUAAGCAGUGGUUGCUAUUUAACUGAAAAUAUCUUGAGACCGUCUUGGAGGAAAUCAACUCCCAAAAAUUGCAAUGUAUGAUCUCCUAGAAAAAACUUGACUUUUUUUCUGUUUUAAAUUGUAGUGUUCUGUCCCUGAAGAGAGCAUUUAAUUGAAAUAAAAUUGAGAUUACUAAGA